rnacentral:tRNA from 1 species
CGGGGCAUAGCGCAGCCUGGUAGCGCGCCUGCCUUGGGCGCAGGAGGUCUCCAGUUCAAAUCUGGAUGCCCCGACCA